ACUUUCUUGUUGCUCUGUUGGUAGAGCAUUGCGCUAACAAUGCAAAGGUUUUGGGUUAAAAUCCCAGGGAAAGCA